GAUGAAGAUCGCAGCGAAAUGCGAUAAGUAAUGUGAAUUGCAGAAUUCAGUGAAUCAUCGAAUCUUUGAACGCACCUUGCACCCUUUGGCAUUCCGAAGGGUAUGCUCGUUUGAGUGUCAUUGUACUCUCACACUCUCCGAUCCUAUGGAUUCGGGGAGCGGUGGACUUGGGUGUUGCUGCCUUUCCCUGUGGCUCACCUCAAAUGCGUCAGUGCACCUCUUGGUUGGACAUAGUACGGCGUGAUAAGUGUCUUCGCCGGCACCUCGCAAGAGGGUGGCCGAUCGGGAGCUCUGCGCUUUCAAACCGUCUUCGGACAAUUUCUGACAUCUUGACCUCAAAUCGAGUAGGACUACCCGCUGAACUUAAGCAUAUCAAUAAGCGGAGGA
rnacentral:misc_RNA from 1 species